rnacentral:rRNA from 1 species
AUUGAACGCUGGCGGCGUGCUUAACACAUGCAAGUCGAUCGGUAACGCGGGGGCAACCCUGGCGACGAGAGGCGGACGGGUGAGGAACGCUUGGGAAUCUGCCCUUCAGCGGGGGACAACCCGGGGAAACUCGGGCUAAUACCGCAUACGCUCCACGGAGGAAAGCCGGGGACCGCAAGGCCUGGCACUGAAGGAUGAGCCCAAGUCGGAUUAGCUAGUGGGCGGGGUAACGGCCCACCAAGGCGACGAUCCGUAGCUGGUCUGAGAGGACGAUCAGCCACACCGGAACUGAGACACGGUCCGGACUCCUACGGGAGGCAGCAGUGGGGAAUAUUGGACAAUGGGGGAAACCCUGAUCCAGCGACGCCGCGUGGGUGAAGAAGGCCUGCGGGUUGUAAAGCCCUUUCGGUAGGGACGAAAGCUCUUGCCCUAACACGGCAGGAGGUUGACUUAACCUACAUAAGAAGCACCGGCUAACUCUGUGCCAGCAGCCGCAGUAAGAC